GUCAGCCUGGCCUAGUGGCUUGAGCAUUGGACUAUGACUCUGGAGACCAGGGUUCGAAUCCUCAGUCUGCCA